UAAAGAUGUAAACAAAACUCAAGACAGAAGGAAUCAGGGAAUAUGUGCUAUUGUGUGCAUCUUGUUUACAUUUGGGAUCAGUGAUGGCAAAAGAAGUAAUGAGACCACUGAAAUUGUUUUCAUUGUUUUAAAUACCAGGUACUCAUUUUCUUGAUUUGAAAGUUUAACAUGACUUCUAAGGACAUCUCUUCAAAAAGAAAGUAAACAGGGAAUGAAGGUGGUGGGAAAAUCACUUCACUUCACCCACUAUUUCAUGUUGUAAUAAGGGCCACCAUAAGGAUGCCCUCCUCAUAGUGUUCGGUUCUGAUCUUCCUCGAGAACAGUCACUUGGCGCACUUUAAUAAUCUGGACUGCUCCAGAUUUGACUUUAGAUACUCCAUGGUAUCUAGUCUUUAUGAUCAGUUGAAUGAUCAGUGUUUAAGUCUAAAAAUAAUGCUUUCCUGAAAAUGUUUAUAUUUCAUUGCUGUUUCCUUAUUGCCUGCUAGCCAAAUGGAAUUUGGGCAAGCAACUCUUUGAAGACUUUUUUACCCUAGAAAUUUACUUUUGUCCUAAAAACCCUAACUGUAAAUAAGCAGUCGAAGCAAGUUGCCACCUUGAAGUUGAGGGAUACACUUUGCUUCAUCAGUAUUAAAAACCAUGGUACUCUUAUUUUGUCUUUUUUAAUUCAAAACAUUUUCUAAAUGUGGUACUUUGAACCUUGGAGUAUUUACAUGUUUCUGUUCAAAACUGUGACUUAUUAAUGUAAGUCUGCUAGUAGUACUUUUUUUGUCUGAGCAUAAGCUAUAUUUCAAGAUAUACUUUGCCAAUUUUGUUAUUGGUGGGUAAUCAUUUUUAAAUUAUAUUGUUAUUAGGUAAUUAUUUUUAAAGACUACUGGCAUACAAUCAAAGUUGUUCCAUAAAAGAAUAUAACUGAGCAAUGUAUUUCUCUAAAUGACUUGUAAAAAUCAAUGAAUUAUGUUUAAGUCUGCAUUAUGGUAGGUUAUUACUCCCAGCUCAUUUUAAAGACAAGUUUGAAAGAGUCCUUUAAAUUUUAUAAGCUUGUAGAUUCCAUAAACUACACUGAUUUAUACAUUUGAAAGAAUUUAGCCAUUUAAUAAAUUUCUUAUUCUCAAAUUGCAUUUAGAUUAAAAUUCCUUUUAAGAGUGUCUGAAAUGUCUGCCUGCGAAGAACAUGUAAACAUUGCCAGAUACCAGUCAUUAUUCUUUAGUGGCUUUUUAGUCCUCUGCUUUUUUUUUUAAGGCAAAAGAAAUAUGCAUCUAGCAUUUCUAAUACCAAAUCCCCAAUUGUGAUUGUUUUAAAGAUCAUGGUAUGAUCACAGGGACCAAGGCUGUGUGCAUAUAUAACUCUGGAUUUGAAAGGAGGAGAGUUCAGCCAUCUAGUUCUUUUCUUCACAUGACACUUUUAAACAGCCAGUUUGACUGGAAUUAACCAACUUGGCACAGCCUAAAAAAGGAGUAAUGUGAAAUUAAAUUAUUUUUCUUUGAAAGUCUUUUGAAAUAAGAGACCAUGUAAGUAGGACCCUAAGACAACCAAGGAAUUUGCUUCCAGGGCCCUCAUUCCUCUGCUGUUACUUACAAAUGUUUUAAUUUUUACUACCUGAUAUUCUUUCUCUACCUUUUCCACAUUUGAAAAUAUACAAGGCAGCUCACUUCAUCCUAAAAACCUAAAAACUCCAGGAAGGAAAGAAAAGGAUGAUAUGGGGAAAUUUGCCAUAAAUGCCGGUUCUGGUUCUUAGUUUAGCCAUUUCCAUCAGUUGAAAUUGUGGUGUGAUCUGUUGCUUGUUUCGUUGUUGUUUUGUUUUUGUGUAGCUUUGUUUUUUAAUAUUCAUUUAAUAAGAUGAUGGGCAAUAGCAAACAUUUUUACUCCCAGGAAUAUAAUUUAUCAAAUUGAACUAUUUUAUUUGCCAAAGAAACUUGUUUUUAAUAUCACGGGUAAUGGGUAAGUGUGAAAACUAGGCUUUUUUUUAUGAAACAAAAAAAGGUGACGAAUAAUAUGGCUUUUGUUUCUGUUUCUGAAGCCUGAUUUCAUUUAUGCCAGGUUUUGAAAAACAGAUCUUUUUCUUAAGUGAAAGCACCUUUAAUUUGCUCUAACGGUACAUCCUGUAAAGACAGAAUUCUGCAUAGCCUUUUAGGUGUUUUUACAGUAUGUGAAAAAUACAAGACUCAUUCUAGAGUUAAAUUACCAAUCUUGGUUGAUAUUAUCUGCUUCCAUUUUUAUUAAUUUGGAAAUUAAUAUGUUGCUAGUAAAUAUUGGUUUUUACAGUACCCAGUUUGAAAAUGUAAGUUAUCAAAACUUAAUGUAGUGAAUUUGUGUAACCAUGUUGUAUUGUUGAGAAUGUAUUUUUAUUUAAAUUUUAUUUUCUUAUCAAGAGUAUUAUAAAAAUUAACUUUUGUAACUGUCGCUUGGAAAUAACUCAAAUAAAUUACAAGAAGCCUGU
rnacentral:lncRNA from 1 species